rnacentral:rRNA from 1 species
AACGAACGCUGGCGGCAUGCCUAACACAUGCAAGUCGAACGAGACCUUCGGGUCUAGUGGCGCACGGGUGCGUAACGCGUGGGAACCUUCCCUUAGGUUCGGAAUAACUCCCCGACAGGGGUGCUAAUACCGGAUAAUGUCUUCGGACCAAAGAUUUAUCGCCUUUGGAUGGGCCCGAGUUGGAUUAGCUAGUUGGUAGGGUAAUAGCCUACCAAGGCGACGAUCCAUAGCUGGUCUGAGAGGACGAUCAGCCACACUGGGACUGAGACACGGCCCAGACUCCUACGGGAGGCAGCAGGGGGGAAGAUGGGACACUGCGCGAGAGACUGAGCCAGCAAGGCCGCGUGAGUGAUGAAGGCCUUAGGAUUGUAAAGCUCUUUUACCCGGGAUGAUAAUAACAGAACCGGGAGAAUAAGCUCCGGCAAACUCCGU